rnacentral:rRNA from 1 species
UAAGCGGAGGAAAAGAAACUAACAAGGAUUCCCCUAGUAACUGCGAGUGAAGCGGGAAAAGCUCAAAUUUUGAAUCUGGCAGUCUUUUUGGCUGUCCGAGUUGUAAUCUAGAGAAGCGUCUUCCGCGCUGGACCGUGUACAAGUCUCCUGGAAGGGAGCGUCAUAGAGGGUGAGAAUCCCGUCUUUGACACGAACCACCAGUGCUAUGUGAUGCGCUCUCGACGAGUCGAGUUGUUUGGGAAUGCAGCUCAAAAUGGGUGGUAAAUUCCAUCUAAAGCUAAAUACAGGCGAGAGACCGAUAGCGAACAAGUACCGUGAGGGAAAGAUGAAAAGAACUUUGGAAAGAGAGUUAAACAGUACGUGAAAUUGCUGAAAGGGAAACGCUUGAUGUCAGUCGCGUCUGCCAGGGAUCAACCUUGCCUUGUCGCUGGGUGCAUUUCUUGGUCGGACGGGUCAGCAUCAGUUUCGAUCGUCGUAGAAUGGCCAAGGGAAUGUGGCACCUCUAGGGGUGUGUUAUAGCCCUCAGUCGUAUGCGUCGGUGGGGACUGAGGAACUCGGCACGACCUUCAUGGCCUGUGUCUAGGAUGCUGGCAUAAUGGCCUUAAGCGACCCGUCUUGAAACACGGACCAAGGAGUCUAACAUGCCUGCGAGUGUUUGGGUGGAAAACUCGAGCGCGUAAUGAAAGUGAAAGUCGAGAUCUCUGUCAUGGAGAGCACCGACGCCCGGACCUGAGUCUUUGACGAAGGAUCUGCGGUAGAGCAUGCAUGUUGGGACCCGAAAGAUGGUGAACUAUGCCUGAAUAGGGUGAAGCCAGAGGAAACUCUGGUGGAGGCUCGUAGCGAUUCUGACGUGCAAAUCGAUCGUCGAAUUUGGGUAUAGGGCGAAAGACUAAUC